rnacentral:rRNA from 1 species
GAUGAACGCUGGCGGCGUGCUUAACACAUGCAAGUCGAACGGAAAGGCUCCUGCUUGCAGGGGUACUCGAGUGGCGAACGGGUGAGUAACACGUGGGUGAUCUGCCCUGCACUUCGGGAUAAGCCUUGGAAACUCGGUCUCAUACCGGGUAGGACGAUGGUUUGGAUGCCAUUGUGGAAUGAUGUUCGGUAUGGGUUGCGCUUGUGGCCUAUGAGCUUGUUGGUCGGGUAAUGGCAUACGAAGGGGUUGACCGAUAGACGGCCUGAGAGGGUGCACGGCCACAUUGGUACUGAGAGACGGCCCAGACUCCUACGGGACGCAGCAGUCGGGAAUAUUGCACAAUAGGCGCAAGCCUGAUGCAGCGACGCUGCGUGCGGAAUAACGUCCUACGGGUUGUAAACACCUGUCGCUGUAGACGAAGCGAAAGUGACGGUACCUGGAGAAGAAGCACCGGCUAACUACGUG